AGAAAUAGUGUCCAUGUAAAUCUAGAAUAAUCAUCAACAAUGACAAAAGCAUAACGAUUUCUACCAAGACAUUCAAUGCGAGAUGGUCCAAAAAGGUCCAUGUUAAGAAGUUGCAAUGGUCUAGUAGUUCAAACGAUAUUUUUUUGAUUUAAAGGAUGCUUUUGUUUGUUUCCCUUUUUGACAAGAAUCGCAAAUGGAGUCUUUUUCAAAUUUCAAAAUUGGAAGACCAAUAACUAAUUUUUGUGAAACCAAUUUGUUUAAAAGAUGCAUGUUG
rnacentral:lncRNA from 1 species